rnacentral:rRNA from 1 species
GAAUGGCACCACGAGGAUAAAACUGUCUCCUUUCCACAAUCAGUGAAACUAAUCUCCUAGUGAAGAAGCAAGGAUAUUACUGUAAGACGAAAAGACCCUAUGGAGCUUAAAACAAAUAACUAAUGCUUCACCCCCCCCAGCACUGUAGUUACUAAUUUUUGGUUGGGGUGACCACGGAGAAAAAUUCAUCCUCCACGACGAAUUCUUUAAACAAGCCACAGCUUUAUCUAGCAAUAAAUUGGCGCACUGACCCAAUAACUUGAUCAGCGAACUAAGUUACCCUAGGGAUAACAGCGCAAUCCGCCUCGAGAGCUCUUAUUAACAGGCGG